GUCCACGCUGUAAACGAUGUCAACUAGAUGUAGGGGUGUUGAUCCCCUCUGUGUCGCAGCUAACGCAUUAAGUUGACCGCCUGGGGAGUACGGUCGCAAGAUUAAAACUCAAAGGAAUUGACGGGGGCCCGCACAAGCGGUGGAGUAUGUGGUUUAAUUCGAUGCAACGCGAAGAACCUUACCUGGUCUUGACAUCCCAGAAAUCCCUUGGAAACUUGGGAGUGCUUCCAUUAGGAAGAAUCUGGAGACAGGUGCUGCAUGGCUGUCGU
rnacentral:rRNA from 1 species